rnacentral:rRNA from 1 species
UGGGGAAUUUUGGACAAUGGGCGAAAGCCUGAUCCAGCAAUGCCGCGUGUGUGAAGAAGGCCUUCGGGUUGUAAAGCACUUUUGUCCGGAAAGAAAUCCUUGGCUCUAAUACAGUCGGGGGAUGACGGUACCGGAAGAAUAAGCACCGGCUAACUACGUGCCAGCAGCCGCGGUAAUACGUAGGGUGCAAGCGUUAAUCGGAAUUACUGGGCGUAAAGCGUGCGCAGGCGGUUUGCUAAGACCGAUGUGAAAUCCCCGGGCUCAACCUGGGAACUGCAUUGGUGACUGGCAGGCUAGAGUAUGGCAGAGGGGGGUAGAAUUCCACGUGUAGCAGUGAAAUGCGUAGAGAUGUGGAGGAAUACCGAUGGCGAAGGCAGCCCCCUGGGCCAAUACUGACGCUCAUGCACGAAAGCGUGGGGAGCAAACAGGAUUAGAUACCCUGGUAGUCCACGCCCUAAACGAUGUCAACUAGUUGUUGGGGAUUCAUUUCCUUAGUAACGUAGCUAACGCGUGAAGUUGACCGCCUGGGGAGUACGGUCGCAAGAUUAAACUCAAUGAAUUGACGGGAUCAUAGCUGUUU